rnacentral:rRNA from 1 species
AGUCGAGCGAUGAAAUCCCUUCGGGGAUGGAUUAGCGGCGGACGGGUGAGUAACACGUGGGUAACCUGCCUCAAAGUGGGGGAUAGCCUUCCGAAAGGAAGAUUAAUACCGCAUAAUAUCUAAUUGCCGCAUGGCAGAUGGAUUAAAGGAGCAAUUCGCUUUGAGAUGGACCCGCGGCGCAUUAGCUAGUUGGUGAGGUAACGGCUCACCAAGGCGACGAUGCGUAGCCGACCUGAGAGGGUGAUCGGCCACAUUGGGACUGAGACACGGCCCAGACUCCUACGGGAGGCAGCAGUGGGGAAUAUUGCGCAAUGGAGGAAACUCUGACGCAGCAACGCCGCGUGAGUGAUGAAGGUCUUCGGAUUGUAAAGCUCUGUCUUCAGGGACGAUAAUGACGGUACCUGAGGAGGAAGCCACGGCUAACUACGUGCCAGCAGCCGCGGUAAUACGUAGGUGGCAAGCGUUGUCCCGGAUUUAUUGGGCGUAAAGCAUGCGUAGGCGGAUACUUAAGUGGGANUGUGAAAACCCCGGGGCUCAACUCCGGACCUGCAUUCCAAACUGGGUGUCUAGAGUACAGGAGAGGAAAGGGGAAUUCCUAGUGUAGCGGUGAAAUGCGUAGAGAUUAGGAAGAACACCAGUGGCGAAGGCGCCUUUCUGGACUGUAACUGACGCUGAGGCAUGAAAGCGUGGGUAGCAAACAGGAUUAGAUACCCUGGUAGUCCACGCCGUAAACGAUGAGUACUAGGUGUCGGGGUUUCAAUACUUCGGUGCCGCAGUUAACACAUUAAGUACUCCGCCUGGGAAGUACGAUCGCAAGAUUAAAACUCAAAGGAAUUGACGGGGGCCCGCCACAAGUUAGCGGAAGCAUGUUGGUUUAAUUCGACCCAACGCGAAAAAACNUUACCUGGGNCUUGACAUCCUAAGAAGUCCGGUGGAAACACCGAUGUGCCCUUCGGGGAACUUAGAGACAGGUGGUGCAUGGUUGUCGUCAGCUCGUGUCGUGAGAUGUUGGGUUAAGUCCCGCAACGAGCGCAACCCUUGUUGUUAGUUGCUACCAUUAAGUUGAGCACUCUAGCAAGACUGCCUGGGUAACCAGGAGGAAGGUGGGGAUGACGUCAAAUCAUCAUGCCCCUUAUGUCCAGGGCUACACACGUGCUACAAUGGUUGGUACAGAGAGACGCAAGACCGUGAGGUGGAGCAAAUCCCAUAAAACCAAUCUCAGUUCGGAUUGUAGGCUGAAACUCGCCUACAUGAAGCUGGAGUUACUAGUAAUCGCGAAUCAGAAUGUCGCGGUGAAUGCGUUCCCGGGCCUUGUACACACCGCCCGUCACACCAUGAGAGUCGAUAACACCCGAAGUCCGUGAGGUAACCGUAAGGGCCAGCGGCC